rnacentral:tRNA from 1 species
CCGCCACUAGCUCAUACGGAUAGAGCUGCAGCCUUCUAAGUUGCAGGUACGAGGUUCAACUCCUCGGUGGCGGACCA